rnacentral:rRNA from 1 species
UACGAAGGGGGCUAGCGUGGUCCGGAAGAACUGGGGGAAAAGGGUGCGUAGGCGGGUCUUUAAGUCAGGGGGGAAAUCCUGGAGCUCAACUCCAGAACUGCCUUUGAUACUGAAGAUCUUGAGUUCGGGAGAGGUGAGUGGAACUGCGAGUGUAGAGGUGAAAUUCGUAGAUAUUCGCAAGAACACCAGUGGCGAAGGCGGCUCACUGGCCCGAUACUGACGCUGAGGCACGAAAGCGUGGGGAGCAAACAGG